rnacentral:lncRNA from 1 species
AUAAAACCCAGAAGGUGGUCAUCUGUCGUAGAAACUUGGAUGGAGCCCAUCCGUCAUGGAGAUCUGCUGUUAGGAAAGUUCGGCCACUGACGAACUAACGUAGUUCUGGAAGAAAUUCAAAUUGGAGUCGAUCGACUCCUGUCGGAAAAGAUCCGAAAGGGGUCUGGAGAACGAUUGACCCUUGUAGGAGGUCGGCCGAU